CCUACGGGAGGCAGCAGUGAGGAAUAUUGGUCAAUGGGCGAGAGCCUGAACCAGCCAAGUCGCGUGAGGGAGUACUGCCCUAUGGGUUGUAAACCUCUUUUGUCGGGGAGCAAAAGCCGGACGUGUCCGGCUGUGAGAGUACCCGAAGAAACAGCAUCGGCUAACUCCGUGCCAGCAGCCGCGGUAAUACGGAGGAUGCGAGCGUUAUCCGGAUUUAUUGGGGUUAAAGGGUGCGCAGGCGGAUUUUUAAGUCAGCGGUCAAAUCGUGGGGCUCAACCCCAUCCAGCCGUUGAAACUGGGGAUCUAGAGUGUGCGAGAGGUAUGCGGAAUGCGUGGUGUAGCGGUGAAAUGCAUAGAUAUCACGCAGAACCCCGAUUGCGAAGGCAGCAUACCGGUGCACAACUGACGCUCAGGCACGAAAGCGUGGGUAUCGAACAGGAUUAGAUACCCGUGUAGUC
rnacentral:rRNA from 1 species